GAUCUCUCUUCACUCCCUUUUAUUGUAUUUAUGCUCAAGUAUCGAUGUCAUUAGCCAUUUUUAUGUCCUAAUAAGAUUUUGACAGUAUUUUAUGUUGAAAGGAUUGGUAGGUAGAUUGAGGAUUUUCCUUUAUUUUGAAUUAUAUGCUAAUCACUUUACCUGCCAAUGGUUUAAAAUGUAUCAUUUAAACUUUUAUAAAAUGUUCUUUUACUAUCAAACCAUUGUCUGCUAUUUUCUUAAAUAUAAGUAAUAGAAUAAUUGAGGAUUUAAAUUUGUCAUGACAUAUAUUGACUUUGCUUAGGAUAAAUAUGAAGCCAAAUCACCAUCCUCUUUCCUAAAUAAUUAAAAAGGUUUACCUCUACGUAAUUAAAAUAGUUGAGAAAUUGACCCAUCAUUUUAAUUGUCUGUUAUGUUUCUUUAUCUUUAUCACCAAUCCUCUCCAUGAGCUCAAUAAUGCAAAAGGAAUAAUUAAGCUCAACAACAGCGACCUAGAACUAAUGAAGAUGGGAUUGGUGGUGCUUAAUAUGUUUAAAGCAUCGACUCCCUGUAAACCCACAAGCACGGCGGUGAUGAAGAAGAAGAAUAACAACUGAACUAACACUGAGCUAAUUAUCCUAAGCAUUUAAACUUGUAUAAUAUGUUCUUUUACCAUUAAACCAUUGUCUGCUAUUUUCUUAAUUAUAUUUUCUUAAGUAUAACUAACACCACAUGGAGCAAGAACAUGUUCAAAGGAUUCUUUUAUUUUCUUUUUCUUUCUCUUUUAACUUUUUUUAGGCUUAAUCAUUAGUUAUUUACCCUGUUUUUUCUUUUUCAAUCAUCUAUUUAUUUGUGUGGUAGCUACUCUGUGUGGGGGGGAAGAAACUAGAACAUGGAUUUCAAAUGUACUUAAAAAGCAUAUAAGUCUACAGGAUUACUUUUGUGAUUUUGUUAUUUAUAGAUUUUGAAUAAUCUUUUGAUUGAUCGAUAUAAGUUUACAGGAUUAGCUUUACACCUAUGGCUACUCAAUCUAUUGAUAAAGGUUUCAUAUUUAUUAAGUAUGAUAGGACAUGGUUGUUAGGAUAUAGAGUAUGAAAGGACACUUUGAGCAUUGUGCACUGAAGUAUGAAAUGUGCUUGCUGUUUUUUAUUAGUCCCUAUAUCAUAUAUAAUCUGAUGGAAUAUAAGACAUUAAGGUUUUAUACUUGAUCUAUAAGUUAUUUUCUAUUACACAAUAGUAUUUUCCUUUUGGCUCCUAAAAAACUAUCGUUGUGUCUAUUACUUACUUCCACUGACACUCUCAUUGCACACAUCCUCAUAAUAGUACUUUCCUUCUGACACGUGACCAAUUCAUUAGUAAUAGUUUGAAUUUGAAUUUCAAAUUGAGUAGCCACAAUGGCAUCAUUAGAAUCUUGUCUUCACCCUCAAAUAUCACAGCUCUAUUUUAUUAGCUUUGCCUGAAUUGUCCUUGUCCUUUCUUCUCUUCAUUUUUUUAUUCUGAUUUCUAACUUCUUUUUAUUAGUUUAACACUUGAUUUGUUGUAUGGAGCAUCAGAUGGCUUCUUAUAAAUGAUUUCUCUCCCUUUCAGGUUGAGAUUAGUGCUGGAUAUCCACAAUCUUUGGAAGCAGUAGACUGAACGAAGUUAAAGAUGAAGAGAAAGAAUGAGGGUUCAGAUGAUCUUUCCAUAAAGAGCUCAGAUCUUUUUGUACUUAAGGGAUUUGUUAUUCAACUAGAGUCCAGCCAAAAGAAGUGCAAUGUACUAGCAGGGGCAUCUCACCAGUAGAUUUCGAGCUGCCUUCUGUCAUUAUUUAAAUUGAAACUAAUGUAUGCUUACAACUGGCAAUAUAUAUAUAUAUAUAUAUAUCCAUUGAUAGGAUGUCUUUUUAAAGGAUGGCGAUAUGGAAGGACACCUUGAGCAUUGUGCAAUGAAAUAUGUAACCUACGCAUUGAUUUUUUUGCUUUUCCUAUAUCAUAAAUAAUAUGAUAGCAUGCAAUAUAUUAAGGUUACAUAGUUUAUCCAUCAGUUAGUUUCUAUUGCACAGUAAUAUUUUUCUGUUUGCUUUUUAAAAAAGGUCCCAUCAGCUUGUUUUGCCCUCUUUCAUGGUUCGUAUUUGAUACAUAGGACUUAACUCAUUACAUUGUAUCAAUGGAUGGGCUGAUCUCACAUGUUCUCUUGCCUAUUUUGACCAGGACAUGCUUCAAAUUACACUGAUAUUCUUGCAUGUUCCUACCUCGAUUCCAUUGAUGCAUUGCUGGAUUUGUUUUCUUCUCAGUUUGUUCUUUCCAAUAUUUAUCUAUUGUUUUGAUUGGCAUCAUGACUCGUGACACAAAAGUUCCUCUUCAGCUUUGUUUGGUGAUAGAAAUAGGCAAGUUUCUUUUUGUAAGCCAUUAAAUAAAAAAUGAGAAAGACUAAAAGGAUGCUGUGUGAGUGUGGUGGCUAUGCUAUUCUCUGUUACAUUAAUAUUUUUUUAUUCCUAUAAAUAAAUUAGCUUGAGCAAGUUUCUAGGAUGAGUUAGUCAAAAGCCUUUACAGAGUUGUUUUACAGUAUUCUAGAUUCUACAAUUUAGUUGUUUAUCUUUGGAGAAUAAUUUUAUUCUAUGGACAAUGGUUUUGUACAUGUAUUUUUCCUUGAGCCAAAUUCACUUCCAUAUGUAUGAUAUACUUAUU